GCUCAAAUUUGAAAUCUCGCGGGGUUCUACCUCGUGCGAAUUGUAGUUUAUAGAAACAUUUUCGGGGGCAGCUUGGGAGUAAGUCUCUUGGAAAAGAGCAUCAUAGAGGGUGAGAAUCCCGUCUUGAUCCCAAUGUCUGCUCCUAUGUGAUAUGUUUUCAAAGAGUCGGUUUGUUUGGGAAUGCAGACCAAAAUGGGUGGUAAAUACCAUCUAAAGCUAAAUAUUGGCGAGAGACCGAUAGCGAACAAGUACCGUGAGGGAAAGAUGAAAAGAACUUUGAAAAGAGAGUUAAAAGUACGUGAAAUUGUCAAAAGGGAAACGCUUAGCACCAGUUUUGCCUUCGAGUAAUCAACCGUGCUUUUGUUAGCACGGUGCACUUGCUUGUUUGGCAGGUCAACAUCAGUUUGACUCGGGGUAAAAAGCCGGCGGAAGGUAGCCCAACUCGUUGGGUGUUAUAGCUGCCGGUGAUGCCCUGGGAUGGACUGAGGUCUGCAGCGCUAAUUUGGGUCCCCCGGUCGCCUCUUGUAACCUAGUCGUAGACAGCUUGCUGACUGCGGUUGGACGUAGGGAGCUCGGUCGGGAUUUCCACACCAGCGCUUUGGAUGUUGACAUAAUGGUUCUAAACGACCCGUCUUGAAACACGGACCAAGGAGUCUAACAUAUAUGCGAGUAUUUGGGUGGAAAACCCUAAUGCGCAAUGAAAGUGAAUUUCUAUGGUGGGAUCUUCGGUGCACCAUCGACCGGUCUGGAUUUUUUUGAUAGAUCUGAGUAAGAGCAUAUAUGUUGGGACCCGAAAGAUGGUGAACUAUGCCUGAAUAGGGUGAAGCCAGAGG
rnacentral:rRNA from 1 species